rnacentral:misc_RNA from 1 species
GUAACAGCAGAUCGUAGAAGUGUCGACAAGACGCAAAGCCAAGAGGCAGCAGAAGUCAGUUAAGCGGCCAACAGCAGCUGGAAUAUGCGAUGGUCGCUGGUCGCUGGUGUACCGUACUAUGUGUGACGUGUUGAUUGAGCGCUCAAUGGUUGGUGUAAGCGACGGCUGCUCAUAGUUUUUCGUCGUUCGUUGGCCUUUGGCCGUUUCUAGGUGGUGUGCUGAUGAAUUCUGCCGUUCAGUUGUUGGAUGGUCGGUUGCCAGCUUGACGUGCUGUGCUGUGGUGCUGUGGUGCUGUGUCGUGUUUGUGAAUUUGAAGUGAACAAGGUACUGAAACGACUGCGCAUUACUAUCAAUAAUUAGCGCAAAAUUAGUGGAAUUACAACAGAAUCAAUAAAAAAGUAACCGAUAAUGGAAACUAAUAUUCUGAAAAUGUUCGACAUUAUUAACUGUUAAUUCUCAAGUAUGCAAAUGUACGUAGAUAAAUAAAUUAAUAUAUAGACAUUUGUUCGAAGUUCGAAAACUGUGCGAUUUUCCGAUUUACACAAAUGAAUUUAAUGAUAGGAUGGAAAAAGGCGAAAAAGUGCUUGUAAUGAGAAUAACAUCUAAAUGUAAAAGUGCGAAAUAAAACUGGAAAUAAACGCAUAUAAUUAAUAACUAAAAAUGUUUGCGAACUACGCAGUUGACCAACUAGCUACGACGUGAGCAUGGAGCUUGGCGAGUGCUCAGCUAUUGUCGUUGGGGAGGAAUUCGCCGAUCAUGCCGUUCAUGGCGAUGGUGUUGACAGUAAUAGAGUGCAGCUCAUAACAAAAACAAAAAAAAAAGCCUGACUUCAGCUCAAAUGCCUUUCCGUGGAGCUUUUGGUGGUUUAUGCUACUGGCGCAAGAAGUGUCAGCGCCGCAAUUGUCGUAUCUUUGUUUCGUCGGUUCGUUAUUUGGACACACGAAAACUAUUCGUUCUACCGAAUUGUUGGUCGCUGUACGAAUGCGCUACCGAAAACCGAGGCGGAUUCGGAAUUUAACGACAACGAGUAAUGUCGCCGAAACUUAAGUUCUUUAAUUGUUAUUAUUAUUGUUAGUGUUGUUGUUGUUGUGGUUGUAGUUGUCGAGAAGGCCAGCCUCGUCGGUAUGGUUGACGACUUUAUAGCGCCACUUGCGCCACUUGAACAACUAAUUUAGGGCGAAAGCAAGAACAACAAGCAGAACAACAAUGACGACAAUAAUAUUCAUAACAACAAUAAAUGAGGCUAAGACAAUAAAGUGAAAAUGUGAACUUUGAAACAAAUGAUUUUUCUAACCAAUUUAAGAGGCCCGAUAUACGCACACACACAUAAAUGUACGUAUAUAUUAAGAAGACGAAACGGNGCGGAGAAGUGGAUUAUAUUUGGAUGAAUUUAGCCACGAGAAUGCAUAUAUUUACAUAUAUUGUUGGUAUAAAAUAGAAGGCAAUGACAAUCUAAAACUGGAUCAAUGACAAUCGUUUUUAUGUGAGAUCGUGCCACGCAACAAACCGCAAGGCAAACAUAAGAGAUUAGGUCUAGAAGUGGACAACUGAAAUGUGCUAUCCUGAUUUAAAUGUUGUCUAAUCUAUAAUAGUAACAUGGUGAUAUGAUGUAUUUCUUAUAUACUUACAUACUUGAAAAUAUCUGCUGGGAAUGCGUUAGUAAAAAAACACGCAAAGAUUUCCUGCUGGGUCUGUGACGACAAUGCGUACAAAUUUAAAUAAUUUGUAAACAUGAUAAUAGAGAGUAUAAAGAAGCUCAACUGCGAUAGCAAGCUCAAAUGCCAAACAACAACAAUAAUAAUAAUAAACAAUCAGAAGAAAUUAAGCAAUCAAAAGUAACACAAUUGUAGUCGAACAAAUAAUAUAGAAAAGGGGAGCGCGGUAGCAGAAACGCCAUCACCACUUUGCAAAUGAAAUGGAAAUUGAAAAGCCCAGACAACGACAAUAACAACGACAGCAACCACUUCAGCGAAAACACUUCCGUCACAAUGAGUACUACGAGCAAAUGAAACUAAAACAGACUUUGCACCAAUUUUCAAUGGCACGAGCGUCGAGAACAUUGAACUAUUUUCCACUUUUUACGCCGUGUAUAUAUUUUUAUGGAAAGUGUUGAGUUAUAUCGACGCCAACCGACUUCUACGCAAAUAUAUGCACCUAUUUAAAAAAGAAUAGAUAUAAACACACGGACCUGCACACAUGCAUGCCCAAAAUCGUGCUUGUAUGAAAACGUAAGCGAUUCUAAGUAAGUGAGCAGCGGAACAGUGAACAGCGAACGAAGUACUCUACAAUCAGAAAUCAACGAGCAGCAACAGUCAGUAACUUACUAGCAACGUCUCGUCUUCCCAAAAAAACAAAAUAAUAAUAUUAUUAAUAAUAAUGAAGAACGACUGAGACUGUCUUUGUUUGUAGCCGAAUGGAAUGGCAUGAAACGGAGCCUGAGACUGGCACGGGAGUGAGUGCACUCUUAUCUGUAAACCACGAUCUACACCGACUCGACACCAAUCCACAUGAAUAUCGAACACUCACACACGCAAUCAGCGAUGACACCGUUUUACGAAUUCGCUUCGCCGCUUUUGCGUUUAUUGAAUGGGAUAAGUACAUCGCCAUAAACAGAUAUUGUAUGGAGCUGCAAGCAAGUAUCCCAAAACGAAAAUAGAAACCGAAAAAACUGGAAAUUUUCAAAAUGAAAACAAACAUUGUGAAAGCAAAGCGCAGCUGAUAAGCUGUAGGUACCCACACUAUGUUCCGUCACCAUCUGCAGCCAGAACAUUCAACGCUCCGGGUCAAUACUCGUGGUAGCGCGCAAUGCUCCUCCGGACAGUUGAUUACCCCAUACCCCAUAAUCGUCGGGGUUUUUAUGCCGUUAUUGUUGUUUUUUCAAAUGGCUGGCAAAAUGGAAAUCCCAACAAAUUGCAGUUUUUGCAAGCAAGACAACCUCACGAAUAUCAACCCUGAGUAUAUUAGAGGAGUUAAGGUUCGUUUAUGCGAAGCAAAUGUGGAUGACAAGUUAAAAUUCUUAAGCUUCAUUUGAUGUGCCUGUUGCUUGUUGGUCUCACUUGUUGCCAUUUAGUGGCUUGGUGUUGUUGUUACUUUCAUGCGGCGGCGCUAUCAUCGAUUGGUAAGCUUAACAUAUACCACACAAACAUAUAUAUUUUUAUAUAUGUAUGUAUUUACACACACUUACAUAUAAAACGACACCUUCCGUCACCCCUUUGCGAGCGUACGCAGAUCUUUUCCGAGCCACUANAGCAACAGCUAUGUGGCGAAAUGAAAAAGCGAAAAAAUACUCAUACUUACACAGACGAACCAAGAAGAAGAAGCGGAAAACGAAAUAAAUAUCUUAGAGCGAAUACCCACACACACAGCCAGCAAGCAUAUCAUCACACACGAACACUAUGCGCUUGUUUUUGUGAUUAUUGUUUGAAUAAGGCACAGUGAAAGAGGCAACAACAGCAAUCAAUAUAUGUUUGAGUACACAUACAGCCGUACACAGCCAGACACACGCACACACACAUUUGGAGCUGUGCUUCUGAACAUUGCGAGUGGUUUUCUUAGCUGUGACAGCCAACAGCCGACAGCCCGCUUCACAAACAAAAAAUAAAUAAAAAUGAAAAUAAAUAACAAAGAAGUCAAAAUAAAGCAGACACCGCCGAAGUAUUUACAUUUUUUCCGCUGAACUUUCUUUCUGCUGCUCAA